rfam:Triticum urartu cultivar G1812 contig1166372, whole genome shotgun sequence.
ACUCAGUUGGUAGAGUACAAAGCUCUUAACCUUAUGGACGUGGGUUCGAGCCCCAU